rnacentral:SRP_RNA from 1 species
UUUAUAAUAACUUUUUUAUUAUUCCUAGCGGUGAAGAACACAACUUUGGCUUGUCAGGUUGAACUGGUGUUGCACCAUGCUAGCCUGCCCGCUGUUGAGAGUUGAGAUGUGAGACUUAAGCUAAGACUUGGGUCUCUUGUCUAUUAGACAGGAGGGUACAAUGUGGACUGACAGUGCAGCGAGCACCUCCGACUCUUAAUAGUGGAGGGAUCAUAGAUUGUUGUACUACCAACUCAGAAAGCCCGGUGAGCCAUGUUGGAC